AAUUUAUUAGGGUAACAAAGAAAGAAAUUAGAACAUCAUAUUACAACGUGCACUUAUAUAUUACCUUGUUAAUGAAGAAAAUUCUCUUCUCUGGAUGAAGUUUCUCAGGUUGAAUCCAGGAAUUGCAGGGAAAAUGAAGAAUGCCUUCAAUCACAAUG